UACGUAGGGGGCAAGCGUUGUCCGGAAUCAUUGGGCGUAAAGAGCGUGUAGGCGGCCUGAUAAGUCGGUUGUGAAAGUCAAGGGCUCAACCCUUGAAUGCCGGCCGAUACUGUCAGGCUAGAGUCCGGAAGAGGCGAGUGGAAUUCCUGGUGUAGCGGUGAAAUGCGCAGAUAUCAGGAGGAACACCGAUGGCGAAGGCAGCUCGCUGGGACGUUACUGACACUGAGGCGCGAAAGCGUGGGGAGCGAACAGG
rnacentral:rRNA from 1 species